GUAGGUGGCAAGCGUUGUCCGGAAUUAUUGGGCGUAAAGCGCGCGCAGGCGGUUCUUUAAGUCUGAUGUGAAAGCCCACGGCUCGACCGUGGAGGGUCAUUGGAAACUGGAGAACUUGAGUACAGAAGAGGAAAGCGGAAUUCCACGUGUAGCGGUGAAAUGCGUAGAGAUGUGGAGGAACACCAGUGGCGAAGGCGGCUUUCUGGUCUGUAACUGACGCUGAGGCGCGAAAGCGUGGGGAGCAAACAGGAUUAGAUACCCUGGUAGUCCACGCCGUAAACGAUGAGUGCUAAGUGUUAGGGGGGUUUCCGCCCCCCUUAGUGCUGCAGCUAACGCAUUAAGCACUCCGCCUGGGAUACGGCCGCAAGGCUG
rnacentral:rRNA from 1 species